rnacentral:rRNA from 1 species
CCCUUAGAUGUUCGGAGCUGCACGCGCGCUACACUGAAGGAAUCAGCGUGCUAAAACCAUUGUCGAAAGGCAUUGGUAAACCCAUUAAAAUCCUACGUGAUUGGGAUCGGGAAUUGCAAUUAUUUCCCUUGAACGAGGAAUUCCCAGUAAGUGUGGGUCAUAAGCUCGCGUUGAUUACGUCCCUGCCCUUUGUACACACCGCCCGUCGCUGCCCGGGACUGAGCCGUUUCGAGAAAAGCGGGGACUGCUGCUGUCGGGGCUUUCGGGCCUUGGCUUCGGUGGAAACCGCUUUAAUCGCAGUGGCUUGAACCGGGCAAAAGUCGUAACA